GAGUAACGCGUAUGGCAACCGUACCUAGUCAGAGGGGGAAUAACCCGGCGAAAGUCGGACUAAUACCGGCAUAAAACAGGGGCACCGCAUGGUGAUAUUGUUAAAGAAUUCGCUGAUAGAUGGGCAUGCGUUCCAUUAGGUAGUUCGGUGAGGUAACGGCUCACCAAGCCGACGAUGGAUAGGGGAACUGAGAGGUUGGUCCCCCCACACUGGUACUGAGACACGGACCAGACUCCUACGGGAGGCAGCAGUGAGGAAUAUUGGUCAAUGGGGCGGGAGCCUGAACCAGCCAAGUCGCGUGAAGGAAGAAGGAUCUAUGGUUCGUAAACUUCUUUUGCAGGGGAAUAAAGUGCAGGACGUGUCCUGUUUUGUAUGUACCCUGAGAAUAAGGAUCCGGCUAACUCCGUGCCAGCCGCCGC
rnacentral:rRNA from 1 species